UACGUAGGGCGCAAGCGUUAUCCGGAAUUAUUGGGCGUAAAGAGCUCGUAGGCGGUUUGUCGCGUCUGCCGUGAAAGUCCGGGGCUCAACUCCGGAUCUGCGGUGGGUACGGGCAGACUAGAGUGAUGUAGGGGAGACUGGAAUUCCUGGUGUAGCGGUGAAAUGCGCAGAUAUCAGGAGGAACACCGAUGGCGAAGGCAGGUCUCUGGGCAACAACUGACGCUGAGGAACGAAAGCGUGGGUAGCAAACAGG
rnacentral:rRNA from 1 species